AGUGAACGCUGGCGGUAGGCCUAACACAUGCAAGUCGAACGGCAGCACAGUAAGAGUUUGCUCUUACGGGUGGCGAGUGGCGGACGGGUGAGGAAUACAUCGGAAUCUACUUUUUCGUGGGGGAUUACGUAGGGAAACUUACGCUAAUACCGCAUACGACCUACGGGUGAAAGCAGGGGAUCUUCGGACCUUGCGCGAUUGAAUUAGCUGAUGUCGGAUUAGCUAGUUGGCGGGGUAAAGGCCCACCAAGGCGACGAUCCGUAGCUGGUCUGAGAGGAUGAUCAGCCACACUGGAACUGAGACACGGUCCAGACUCCUACGGGAGGCAGCAGUGGGGAAUAUUGGACAAUGGGCGCAAGCCUGAUCCAGCCAUACCGCGUGAGUGAAGAAGGCCUUCGGGCUGUAAAGCCCUUUUGUUGGGAAAGAAAAGCAGCAGGUUAAUACCCCGCUGUUCUGACGGUACCCAAAGAAUAAGCACCGGCUAACUUCGUG
rnacentral:rRNA from 1 species